rnacentral:rRNA from 1 species
GGAAGAGCCCAAACCAACAAGCUUGCUUGUUGGGGUUGUAGGACACUCUAUACGGAGUUACAAAGGACGACAUUAGACGAAUCAUCUGGAAAGAUGAAUCAAAGAAGGUAAUAAUCCUGUAGUCGAAAAUGUUGUCUCUCUUGAGUGGAUCCUGAGUACGACGGAGCACGUGAAAUUCCGUCGGAAUCUGGGAGGACCAUCUCCUAAGGCUAAAUACUCUCUAGUGACCGAUAGUGAACCAGUACCGUGAGGGAAAGGUGAAAAGCACCCCGGAAGGGGAGUGAAAUAGAACCUGAAACCGUGUGCUUACAAGUAGUCAGAGCCCGUUAAUGGGUGAUGGCGUGCCUUUUGUAGAAUGAACCGGCGAGUUACGAUUUGAUGCAAGGUUAAGCAGUAAAUGUGGAGCCGUAGCGAAAGCGAGUCUGAAUAGGGCGUUUAGUAUUUGGUCGUAGACCCGAAACCAGGUGAUCUACCCUUGGUCAGGUUGAAGUUCAGGUAACACUGAAUGGAGGACCGAACCGACUUACGUUGAAAAGUGAGCGGAUGAACUGAGGGUAGCGGAGAAAUUCCAAUCGAACCUGGAGAUAGCUGGUUCUCUCCGAAAUAGCUUUAGGGCUAGCCUCAAGUGAUGAUUAUUGGAGGUAGAGCACUGUUUGGACGAGGGGCCCCUCUCGGGUUACCGAAUUCAGACAAACUCCGAAUGCCAAUUAAUUUAACUUGGGAGUCAGAACAUGGGUGAUAAGGUCCGUGUUCGAAAGGGAAACAGCCCAGACCACCAGCUAAGGUCCCAAAAUAUAUGUUAAGUGGAAAAGGAUGUGGCGUUGCCCAGACAACUAGGAUGUUGGCUUAGAAGCAGCCAUCAUUUAAAGAGUGCGUAAUAGCUCACUAGUCGAGUGACACUGCGCCGAAAAUGUACCGGGGCUAAACAUAUUACCGAAGCUGUGGAUUGUCCUUUGGACAAUGGUAGGAGAGCGUUCUAAGGGCGUUGAAGCAUGAUCGUAAGGACAUGUGGAGCGCUUAGAAGUGAGAAUGCCGGUGUGAGUAGCGAAAGACGGGUGAGAAUCCCGUCCACCGAUUGACUAAGGUUUCCAGAGGAAGGCUCGUCCGCUCUGGGUUAGUCGGGUCCUAAGCUGAGGCCGACAGGCGUAGGCGAUGGAUAACAGGUUGAUAUUCCUGUACCACCUAUAAUCGUUUUAAUCGAUGGGGGGACGCAGUAGGAUAGGCGAAGCGUGCGAUUGGAUUGCACGUCUAAGCAGUAAGGCUGAGUAUUAGGCAAAUCCGGUACUCGUUAAGGCUGAGCUGUGAUGGGGAGAAGACAUUGUGUCUUCGAGUCGUUGAUUU